rnacentral:rRNA from 1 species
UAAGCAUAUCAAUAAGCGGAGGAAAAGAAACCAACCGGGAUUGCCUUAGUAACGGCGAGUGAAGCGGCAAAAGCUCAAAUUUGAAAUCUGGCGUCUUCGACGUCCGAGUUGUAAUUUGAAGAAGGCAACUUUGUAGCUGGUCCUUGUCUAUGUUCCUUGGAACAGGACGUCAUAGAGGGUGAGAAUCCCGUGUGGCGAGGAUCCCAGUUAUUUGUAAAGUGCUUUCGACGAGUCGAGUUGUUUGGGAAUGCAGCUCUAAGUGGGUGGUAAAUUCCAUCUAAAGCUAAAUAUUGGCGAGAGACCGAUAGCGAACAAGUACAGUGAUGGAAAGAUGAAAAGAACUUUGAAAAGAGAGUGAAAAAGUACGUGAAAUUGUUGAAAGGGAAGGGCAUUUGAUCAGACAUGGCGUUUGCUUCGGCUUUCGCUGGGCCAGCAUCAGUUUUAGCGGUUGGAUAAAUCCUCGGGAAUGUGGCUCUGCUUCGGUAGAGUGUUAUAGCCCGUGGGAAUACAGCCAGCUGGGACUGAGGAUUGCGACUUUUGUCAAGGAUGCUGGCGUAAUGGUUAAAUGCCGCCCGUCUUGAAACACGGACCAAGGAGUCUAACGUCUAUGCGAGUGUUUGGGUGUAAAACCCGUACGCGUAAUGAAAGUGAACGUAGGUGAGGGCCCGCAAGGGUGCAUCAUCGACCGAUCCUGAUGUCUUCGGAUGGAUUUGAGUAAGAGCAUAGCUGUUGGGACCCGAAAGAUGGUGAACUAUGCCUGAAUAGGGUGAAGCCAGAGGAAACUCUGGUGGAGGCUCGUAGCGGUUCUGACGUGCAAAUCGAUCGUCGAAUUUGGGUAUAGGGGCGAAAGACUAAUCGAACCAUCUAGUAGCUGGUUCCUGCCGA